rnacentral:rRNA from 1 species
GGCUAACGCUGGCGGCGUGUCUUAGCCAUGCAAGUCGAGCGGACUUAUGGGGUAACUUAUAAGUCAGCGGCGGACGGCGGAGUAACACGUAGCUAACCUACCCUCUGGACGGGGAUAACCUACCGAAAGGUGGGCUAAUACCCGAUGUAGUCAUCCUGUAUAGGGGUGAUGAAAGGUGGGCUUCUGUUUACAAGCUCAUGCUGGAGGAGGGGGCUGCGGCCUAUCAGGUAGUUGGUAGGGUAAUAGCCUACCAAGCCGAUGACGGGUAGCCGGCCUGAGAGGGUGACCGGCCCGAGGGGCACUGAGAUACGGGUCCCACUCCUACGGGAGGCAGCAGGCUAGAAAUUUGGGCAAUGGGGGAAACCCUGACCCAGUGACGCCGCGUGCAGGAAGGAGCCCUUCGGGGUGUAAACUGCUGUCGUGUAGGGAGAAGGGUACUAAGGUGAACAAUCUUAGUACUUGACGGUACUACAGGAGGAAGCCCAGGCUAACCUCGUGCCAGCAGCCGCCGGUAAAAUGACGUACU